GCCCGCCACAGCCCGGAGGGUCCCGCGGCCCCGCCCCGCCGGCGCCACAGCGAGCGCGGCCUCCGCAGGCACCACCGGAGCUCCGAGCGCCCGCCGGCCCUGCGGGAGGAUGUCAUUACUCUGCAGCCUGAUGGAUAAUCACACACAGAAUCACGAAUCAGUUAGGUUGGAAAAGACCUCUGCGAUCAUCGAGUCCAGCCUAUGACCGUUCAUAACCUUGUCAAGUAGACCAGAGCACAUCCAGGCUUUCCUUAAACAUCCCCAGGGACAGUGACUCUACGACCUGCCUGGGCAAGCCUUUCCAAUAUCUAAUCACCCUUUCUGUGAAAAAAAUUCCUCCUGAUGUCUAACCUCAACCUUCCCUGGCACAGCUUAAGACCAUGUCUUCUCAUCCUGUCGCUGGUUUGCCUGGCAGAAGAGGCCAGUCCCCACCUGGCUAAAACCUCCUUUCAGGUAGUUGAAGAGAUAAUGGUAAAAGCCACAAGCUUUUAAGUAAUGGAAUAAUUAGAUAGAGGUUGUACCUGGUCUGAAGUCAUGAUUAGGUAAAAAUAAAAAAAAGCUUAGAAAAAAACCAGUAUACAGAAAACUGGAUGGUAGGAAGUAGGUAAGGGCUCCCUCACCAAAUAUUUCCUGUUUAAAAGUAGGCAGAGCUGCUGUGAAAUUAUAAAUGCUGAUGGCAAGUGAUGAUUAUUUUAGGCGUAAUACUGCUGUAGUUUUAAGAAUUCAGCUGUGAUACAUCCUUUACAUAUCUUCACAUAAACGUCCUCCUGUCCUGGAGAUGUGUUGGGCUUUAGGAAGGAUAAUCCGAAGACACAAAACAGUCAAAAGUGUGUUUUCAAAAGAGUGCAUAAAGGAAAAAUAACAAAAAAACCCCUACUCAUUUGAUUCCUUCUGAGCUUCAAAUAUUUUAAGCUUUCUUUGUUUAAUAUGAGCAGGAUUAAAGCUUUUACAUGAGGAAGUCUUGUCAUCAAGUGCUCUUGACCAAUUAUAAUAACAUCAGUUUAUUUGGUGUUAAUCGUUUUCCUGAAUUCUAACUUAGAUAUGCAGCUGAAGUAGUUUUGAGUAAUCAUUUAAGCUAAUGCUCAAGAUCACUGUGGCUGCACCCCACUGGUUUGACUUUACUGGGCGGUCACAAGCAUUCAUGGACAGUGAACUGUUUAAAUUAGUUGAUCAGAUAAGUAAUCUUUUUAAAAAUAAGCUAAUUUAGGUUAGAUUUAGUCCAGGUAGCUGCCGUCUGAUCUGCGGUGCAGGUUGCAUAAAUGUUCAUGCUGAUACAAGGGAACACAAAAAAGAGAGCAGGAUCAUUUUCAAUUGUAGUAAUAGUAUAGGAGCACGGUUGCAUAAUGUUAGAGUGAAUUCUAAAACAUGUAAAAUCUAUUUCAGUAGGAAAAAAUUACUUCUCACAUAACUAAUAAGAAAAUGGUAUCUUCUGCGCAAUAUUGAAAGACCUUUUCUCCUCCCAAUUGCUUCACCAAACAAAAGUACUUGCAUUCUAAACUCCUUUUUGGGGCUCUGAGCAAGCCAGACCAGAAUGUUAUCAUGGCAGUAUUAAAAUGAAAUUAGCCAUUGCACAUAUUUCUGAGCUGCCACUUCUGACCAAAGUCUCAGUUGAUAUUGAUUGUGUCAUUUGAAGCACUAUACAAGUAUGUUAUGGCUGUUACCUUCCAGAUGUGUGUAUAUUUGCAUAGGAGCUUUCCUAAUGAAAUGAAGGCAAGGAUUUGUUUAUAAAGUGGUCUUACUGAGGUCUGCUGGAUGGUGAUUUUUAUAUGAAGACUAAUUCUUAAGUGCUUUCUAUGUAAUGGGAAGAAAAUGGACUCAAUAGUUUUCAAAACCCAGUAGUAAUACUAGAAGCACUUUAUUUAAAAAUUAGUUUACAUUACUACUUAGUUGGAAAUUUCAAAAAUUAUUUUCUCUUGUAGAGUGCAGAAAUCCCUGAAACCAUUUUUCCUGCACAGUAGCCUCUGAAGUGUACAUAUAUAAUUUGUAUGCUGGUGAUUUUGUGUUUUAAACAAUCUUCUUGAUUAUUUAAGUCCUAUUCACAGUAUGUUUCCAAGUAUGUCUAUUGAACAUUGAACAGGGAUUAUAUACUGUAUUAGUGUUGAACAUAUAAUCUGUAUUCUGAUAAAUUAUUCUUAAAGGAAUUUUGUGUGUUCACGUGUAUUUUUUUUUAGUCGCUUUUUUUCUUUGUUGUGUCUUCAGAGGUUAGCUGUGUCUUAAAUACAGGAUUUUCUUUCACAUAAUAGUGGGUAUAAAAUAACCUUUUCUGUGUGCUUCUGGAAAUGGACUGUAUGUCUCUUUCCCAAAGGUGAAAGUUGGUAUGCCUUAAUUUUCUGAGAGUACUGUUGAAGUGUGAUGGUCUACUCCUGCAGGUUUCCUGCUAUUGAAAAAUUUAUUUGCAAGAGAAUAUUUAAAGUCUGAAAUGCUUCCAUGAUUCUUUUUACUACUACAUUUCUCUUGCAAGCCUUACAGCCCUGUUGUUGGAAUAACCUGAGUGUAAGACCUAAGUGGGCAUCAGGCUAAUCCCACAGAGCUAGUUUUGUAGAUUUGUAUCCAGAAGUAUCUAUUCACAGGUAACUGUAAUAAAUAUUGUCCAGCAUUUACCUGCUGUUCUGGAGAACUGGGAGGCAAAGGUGGGGAGUAACCAAGUCUUGCAUACAGUGUGUGUCAGACCUCUGGGGACAGGUGAAUGCAGGCUGAGUAAGCAAUACUAGUGGCCAAAACACAACUUAACCCCCACCUAAGUUACAGUAAUGCAGCAUCCCAGCUCCUCCCUUGAGGUUAGCUUUUUGCAAAUAAAAAUUAACAAUGUCUGUGAUGAUAUUAAAAGGUUAUCAGACCCAAUUCCCAUUGCAUUUUCCCUGUUUCACUGGGAUCUUUUUUCUUUUUAUGGUUCUGAUUCAAAGAAUGUUGAUUUUCAUAGGUGUUCUAUCAGAUAUUCUUUAUGAGGAAACCCAGAGGGCCAUUGUCUUUGCAGCACUGGACUUUGAUGUGAGGAUCUGCCCAAAAACCAUGGUUUUGUGCACAGGUUGUCUGUAUUCUUAUCUGCUCUACUUCUUACUCUUUUUACUCAGCUGUGUAUUCUGGGCUACAGCUACUUCCCUGCUGCAGAGGGAAGCAGCCAUCUGAAUUCCAAGCAGCUGCACUUAGUUCAGGCUUCCACCUGAGCUGCUGCAGUUUCUGAAGCUCCAGCCAGCCCAAGAUCACAGCCUCCCCACUCCGUGCUGUGCUGCAGCUUCCUAAUCUGAGAAGUGGCUUCCUAUUCUGAGAAGUGGCUUUGCUUUCUUCCCAGCAAGUUUAUAUGUUCUUUGCCAAUACAGCAAGCCACAAAGAGGAUGGAGAUUUGCAUCUACCUCCCAAGAUUGCAGAAGCUGGAACACUUGAUAUUUUGGUCUUCAGGCAGAAAAAAAUGCUGUCAAGUCUCAGUCUCCUGGAUUAGGCUAGGCGAUCUGAGCCAGCUGUGUGUAGUCAUUCUGAAUCCAGAUAACCCUUCGUCAGGUUUACAGAAAGACCUGUGCUGUUCUUGGACUGGUUAAGAGAGCAGUGUAGUGAUUUUUAUUUGAUGUGGGAUUUGACUCAAGAAGACCCUCCUGACCAGACCCUGCUGGGCUUGGGGGUAAUUCUCGUGCAUCUGCUAGGACAACCUUGGUUAUUGAUCGAAGCUGAUCAACCGCUGCAAGGCUCUGGCCUUUUUAUGCUUUUCAGGACUCAUUAUUUAUGUGCUUUGAGCAUUUUUUUACUUUGUCCAUACUAUCCCAGCCCUCCUGUUUUUCUGGGUAAUGGAGAAUUGAUUGUAGGCUAGUCUGAAGUAAAUGGUAACAUCAUGGCUUUGACUACAAGGAAAAUUUGGCUUUUGGACUUUCUGAACCUCUCAUACAUCUCCAAGUCUGGGUCUUCAUCCUUAAUAAAAAUAAAUAUUCUUGGAAAUCAUCUUAGGACAUCUGAAGAAAUGCAGCAAUCACAGCUUCAGACACUUCAUACAUACAUAACUGACUCAUUUUUUACAUCACUUUUCUGUUCUGUGUGCCAAAGGAAAUGAAGCAAAUACGAUUUUCUUGAAUACAUGCAUAUGAACAUA